AGUAAAAUAUUAAAUUUUUAUUUAUUGUUUACAUUAAUAAAUUAAAUUAUAACGAUCUAAUAUUUAUAUUUAUAAUUUUAUUAUAUUUGAAUUAGAAUACAUUAUAUUUAUUAUUUUUUUGUAAUAAAUAUAUGUUUAGUUUAAGUAAUAUUAUUAAUAUAACAUUUCAAAUAAGACUAGAAAAUAUUUCUUAAGUACGCAUGCGUAUAAUUGUUGGCAACUUAGUUAAAAGAAAUUCUAUACACAUUCAUGACAUGUAAAGAUGUGAAAACCUAAAAUGAAAGAGUGGGAGAAGAAAUAGGAACGGAAAGAAAAAAGAGAAGGAAGGUUGAAGCGUGAACGUGGAAUGACGGGAAAUGCGGCGCGUUGCAAAUCGUGGUGGGGUAUAUAAGAUAGCAAUGGCCGCUCCCGUGCGUAUAAACAUGAAAAAUGACAGAUCGCAUUAAUUCUAUACAUGAAAUUAAUCAAAUGUUUAAUAAACAAGAUUUAAAAAGACAUAUAUAAUAAAGUUUUCACGAUGAUCCGGCCGGUGAUCGUUUUGUCAAUGUAUGCCGCCAUCUUGGAUCGCGGGAAUCAUCAAGAACGGCGCGAAAGACGCACAGCAAGAAAGCAACUUACUCGUGUUAUAGACAUGAAGCUCAUCAACAAUGCCCUCAUUUCCACCGCCGAAAACGACCAUAAGGUCCUUAAGAGCAACUGCCCUGUGUCCAUGUCUGGGUCUUGGCUGAGGUCCGGACGGAUUUGUGAUUCGCUUCCACUUUAACAUGGGUGCCGCCAUGAUGACCAUCGAUCACAUCAUUUUUUCAUACCGCGCAGCUAUGCACCCACCGUGUUACCCCUAGAGUAGUACAACGCCCGAUGAUUUCGAAGAUAGUGUGCCCUUUUCUUGAAACUUCUAUGUCUUCAAUGUUUACAAUACGACAACUUAAAUAACUUCGAAGGUUCACACACCCAACGAAAAUUUACUACUUCUUGAUAUUCUUAGCACUGUCAAUAUCGUAUGUCUUGAUUAUAACCUACCUUUCACUAUUGUUCUUUAUUAAUUAACUUAACUUAAAUAAUUCAUAUAAAUAUAAAGUUAGGUGAAAUUUUUUCGAUAAGAAUCAUGAAAAUUCAGCACGAUUUAGAAGACGUCUGUAACGUAACACGUAUACACAGAACGCACACCGUGUAUUUACGUUCACGAUGUUUACGGCACUGGUUUUAUACCUUCUAGUGUGCUCACUCAGUAUUUAUCAAUGAUCAAACUUAGUAUACAUUUUUUUAUAUUCUAUAAUUAUUAUUGUAAAUAAAUAAUAAUUUUAGUAUUAUAUUUCAAUUUAAAUCUUUAUUUUUUUAUAAUUUUUAAGAAUUUUGUAAAAAAAAAGAAAUAAUAAACAAUUUUAUUUAAAAUUUAAAAA